UGAAUACGAGAUGCUACGGCGUCGAAGCAGUCUAUGUCAUACUUCCAAGAAAAGCUUGCACUGUCAUAAACAAAUAAUGCCUGUACCAUAACCGACACAGGUGGGUAGGUAGAGUAUACUAAGGGGCGCGAGAUAACUCUCUCUAAGGAACUCGGCAAAAUGACUCCGUAACUUCGGGAGAAGGAGUGCCUUAUUUUAUAAGGUUGCAAUAACAAGAUCCAAGCAACUGUUUACCAAAAACACAGGUCUCCGCUAAGUCGUAAGACGAUGUAUGGGGGCUGACGCCUGCCCAGUGCCAGAAGGUUAAAGAAGUUGGUUAGCAUCCGCGAAGCUGAUAACUGAAGCCCUGGUGAAUGGCGGCCGUAACAAUAACGGUCCUAAGGUAGCGAAAUUCCUUGUCGGGUAAGUUCCGACCCGCACGAAAGGCGUAAUGAUUUGGAUACUGUCUCAGAGAGGGGCUCGGUGAAAUAGACUUGUCUGUGAAGAUGCGGACUACCUGCACCAGGACAGAAAGACCCUAUGAAGCUUUACUGUAACUUGAAAUUGAAAUUGGACUUUACUUGCGCAGUAUAGGUGGGAGGCGUUGAGAAUAUUCUUGCGGGAAUGUUGGAGCCAUCAGUGAGAUACCACUCUGGUAAUGUUAGAUUUCUAACUUUGUAUCAUUAUCUGGUCAAAGGACAGUUUCAGGCGGGCAGUUUGACUGGGGCGGUCGCCUCCCAAACGGUAACGGAGGCGCACAAAGGUUUCCUCUGAACGGGUAGAAAUCGUAUCUAGAGUGUAAAGGCAUAAGGAAGCUUGACUGUGAGACCUACAAGUCGAGCAGGGACGAAAGUCGGUCUUAGUGAUCUGACGGUGCUGAGUGGAAAGGCCGUCACUCAACGGAUAAAAGUUACUCUAGGAUAACAGGCUGAUCUCCCCCAAGAGUUCACAUCGACGGGGAGGUUUGGCACCUUGAUGUCGGCUCAUCGCAUCCUGGGGCGGUAGUACGCCCCAAGGGUUGGGCUGUUCGCCCAUGAAAGCGGUACGCGAGCUGGGUUCAGAACGUCGUGAGACAGUUCGGUCCAUAUCCGGUGUAGGCGUUAGAAUAUUGAGAGGAGCCUUCUUUAGUACGAGAGGACCGAGAAGGACAUACCUCUGGUGUACCAGUUAUCGUGCCAACGGUAAACGCUGGGUAGCUAUGUAUGGAGUGGAUAACCGCUGAAAGCAUCUAAGUGGGAAGCCCACCUCAAGAUAAG
rnacentral:rRNA from 1 species